GGAGGGCGAUGAAGGAAUUGGUUGAUUUCUGCCUUUAAUAUUUUCCAUGCCCUGUUUCUGGCUGAUAGCUUUUGAAUCAUCAGGAUUCUGUCAAGGAACACGUUUUAAAUUUUAAUCAAGAGAGUAAGUGCCAAUCUUAUUUAGCACAAUAUUCCAGUUCUAAUCUUGGAUCUGCUGGGCUCUCCUACAUAUGAAUGCACAUCAAGCUGAAAAACUCAUUGUUAUUCUAUCAAAGGGUUCAGGAUGGAGCUAGCCUUUCAAACACCACCGCUGGAACACUGUGAAUGGACCAUCUUGCUACCAAUGAUGAAAACAAUCUGCAAGUUGUGGACACCAACUCUUGCUGGGAACUACUGCCUACAACCUUGUAAGUUUAAUCAGCUGAAACUAACAGCUCUGGGAAUCCCUGUGAAUUCCAGUUGGAAGGGAGAUUUCAUGAACAUUCACCUUUAGAACAUGACCACAUCCACAGCAUUCUACUGUGUGGGCAUCGGUCUCUGGGUUCAGGACGUGGAAUUCAAUUUGAAGGCAAUGUCCUCCUUUGUUCGAUUUCUCACCUCCACUAUUGCCUUGAAUUGAACUUUCCUGCAACAGUUGCCCUGCAUCUCACAUUCUUUACCCUUUCUAUAGGUUUUUAUAGUCAAAUUAGUUACACUCAAACCAGUCCUGAUGUCAUUAGUAAUUUGACAUGUUAACUAUAUUAGUGAUAAGACAGGCCUGCUGUAAACUGAACAGUAACAGUCCUCUGUGAAAACGAUUGUUUGCAAAAUGUUAUUGACAAAGCUAAACUACAGCACACUUGGGAGAGGAAUUCAGGAGUGUCGGCACUUGUUUCAAAUCAGCUUAAAAAACCUCCUAAUGGGAACCAACACAGAACUGUAAGUUAUCUAUAAUGGCCAACUUUAGAACUUACCUUUUGUUUGAUGAAGCAGGCUGUCUGCUGACACAGAUUUAAAUCGGGACUAUGAAUACAUUGGUAGGAUUGAUGUUAGGCAUUUCUAUACAAGAGUGGUCUCUCCAGACAGUUGGUCUACAAAACAUGUUUCAUUUUAUACAUCACGUUCUCAAUGCCACCUACCUUCAAGGUAAAAUUCUAAUUAUUCACUGCUUUUGAUAUUGGGGGAAAAGUGGGGCAAGUUUUGCAAAGUGUUAAAACGUUUCUGUUUUCAAAUACAUCUUUAUCUCAUUACUAUUAUCGCUCAACAAAAAUGUGAACCAAUGCAUCUGUUACUAAGAAAUUCAACGUACAGGCAAUCACUUCUACAACUUACCCUGGCAAUGUGUAGUUUGUACAAAAGGUGGCAUCGGCUCCUGAAUGAAUAUUAACAUAAGCGAAUUUGUUCUGAAAUGAAGUAAAUUCUUCAAUCUUCUUUUAAACAUAAAAUGAGUUAAAUUA